rnacentral:lncRNA from 13 species
AUGUGCCUUAAGAUUUCUACAUCAUAUCUUGGAGAUAUUACAGUUUUGGUUCCAGACCACUGGAAUAAAGUGAAUAUUGCAAUAAAUCAGAUCACACAAUUUUUUUUGUUUGUUUCUUGGUUCAUACAAAAGUUCUGGGCCAGGCACGGUGGCUCACGCCUAUAAUCUCAGCACUUUGGGAGGCUGAGGCAGGCAGAUCACUUGAGGUGAGGAGUUCGAGCACAGACUGAUCAAUAUGGUGAAACUCCAUCUCUACUAAAAAUGCAAAAGUUAGCUGGGUGUGGUGGUGCAUGCCUGUAGUCCCAGCUGCUCGGGUGGCUGAGGCACAAGAAUUGCUUGAACCUAGGAGGUGGAGAGGUUGCAGUGAGCUGAGAUUGUGCCACCGCACUCCAGCCUGGGUGAUAGAGUGAGACUCUGUCUCAAAAAAAAAAAGAAAAAAGAAAUGUUUCCACUACACUGUAGUUGAUUAAGGGCACUAUAGCAUUAAGUGAAAAAACAAUAUACAUAACUUAAUUAAAAAUACUUUAUUG